UUAGUCUUCCAUGACAAUAUUAGGUCGAACAAUCAAACAAUUUUACUAAUCUAACCACCGGUAGAUGAAAACUGCCCCUUCAAGACUACCAAUUAUCAAUUUCAGAUCGAUUAUUUUGAUAACCCCUUCCCCUCUCUCUCCUUGAGUGACCAAGGGAGGGAGAGAGAGAAAAAAAAAAGGUGAUUUUUUUUGUGUAUUCUUGAACUGAAAAAUGCAAUUGAAAUCUGUCAACACAUUUGCAAUCACAAUCAUGUUGGGUUUUACACUUAUCAUUCUAUUCUUCUCUGGAUUUCUUGAUUUCCCACUUCACACUUCUUCUUCAAUCCCAUCAACGAAAAAUCAAAUCUUGACCACCAUCUCAGUUUCCG
rnacentral:misc_RNA from 1 species